CUUUGUGUAAAUUAGAGUGUUCAAAGCAAACAGUUAAAGCAUUUUUACUGCGUUUGAAUACUACAGCAUGGAAUAACAAAAUUGAACAAGUCAGAAUUCUGUUCUUUUUUCUUAUUUUGGCUUAGUUACGAUUAAUAGGAGUAGCUUGGGGGCAUUUGUAUUCAGAUGUCAGAGGUGAAAUUCUUAGAUUUUCUGGAGACAAACAACUGCGAAAGCAUUUGCCUAAUAUAUUUCCAUUAAUCAAGAACGAAAGUUAAGGGAGUGAAGACGAUCAGAUACCGUCGUAAUCUUAACCAUAAACUAUACCAACUAGGUUUUGGAUGAAAAGUUUUUAAAUAAGAGAAUUCCUUUCGGGGAAAUUUCUUAGAUUGCUUCUUUCAGUACCUUAUGAGAAAUCAAAGUCUUUGGGUUCUGGGGCGAGUAUUCGCGCAAGCGAGAAAGUUAAAAGAAUUGACGGAAGGGCACCACCAGGCGUGGAGCUUGCGGCUUAAUUUGACUCAACACGGGGAAACUCACUAGUUUAAGACAAGAGUAGGAUUGACAGAUUAAUAGCUCUUUCUUGAUUUCUUGGAUGGUGAUGCAUGGCCGUUUUUAGUUCGUGAAUAUGAUUUGUCUGGUUAAUUCCGAUAACGAACGAGAUCUUAACCUGCUAAUUAGCGGCGAAUACGUUAUAUUCUUAUGUGAAAUUGAAUAUAGCUG
rnacentral:rRNA from 1 species